rnacentral:piRNA from 1 species
UAAAUGAAACUGUGGGACACCAUGAUGGU